CGCUGUGUGCAGUGGCAGUAUCACAGCCACUGAGGUUUAGCUGAGGCCAGAUUAUGGCUAAUUGGAGACUGCUGCAUUUCACUUCUCAAAUCUUCAAAAGUUAUUUCUUUCAUAAUAAUUUCAGACCUCUGAAAUCUCAC
rnacentral:snRNA from 1 species